rnacentral:rRNA from 1 species
AGUGAACGCUGGCGGUAUGCCUAACACAUGCAAGUCGAACGGCAGCACAGUAAGAGCUUGCUCUUACGGGUGGCGAGUGGCGGACGGGUGAGGAAUACAUCGGAAUCUACUUUUUCGUGGGGGAUAACGUAGGGAAACUUACGCUAAUACCGCAUACGACCUACGGGUGAAAGCAGUGGAUCUUCGGAACUUGCGCGAUUGAAUGAGCCGAUGUCGGAUUAGCUAGUUGGCGGGGUAAAGGCCCACCAAGGCGACGAUCCGUAGCUGGUCUGAGAGGAUGAUCAGCCACACUGGAACUGAGACACGGUCCAGACUCCUACGGGAGGCAGCAGUGGGGAAUAUUGGACAAUGGGCGAAAGCCUGAUCCAGCCAUACCGCGUGGGUGAAGAAGGCCUUCGGGUUGUAAAGCCCUUUUGUUGGGAAAGAAAAGCAGCAGGUUAAUACCCCGCUGUUCUGACGGUACCCAAAGAAUAAGCACCGGCUAACUUCGUG